GUGUCUGUGUGUAUUAACAGUGUGUGUCUGUGUGUAUUAAGUGUGUCUGUGUGUAUUAAGUGUGUCUGUGUAUUAACAGUGUGUCUGUGUAUUAACAGUGUAUUGUCUGUGUGUAUUAACAGUGUAUUGUCUGUGUGUAUUAACAGUGUAUUGUCUGUGUGUAUUAACAGUGUAUUGUCUGUGUGUAUUAACAGUGUAUUGUCUGUGUGUAUUAACAGUGUAUUGUCUGUGUGUAUUAACAGUGUAUUGUCUGUGUGUAUUAACAGUGUAUUGUCUGUGUGUAUUAAUAGUGUAUUGUCUGUGUGUAUUAACAGUGUGUGUCUGUUGUGUCUGUGUGUAUUAAGUGUGUCUGUGUGUAUUGUCUGUGUGUAUUGUCUGUGUGUAUUAACUGUGUGUCUGUGUGUAUUAACUGUGUGUCUGUGUGUAUUAACUGUGUGUCUGUGUAUUGUCUGUGUGUAUUAACUGUGUGUCUGUGUGUAUUAAUUGUGUGUCUGUGUAUUGUCUGUGUGUAUUAACUGUGUCUGUGUGUAUUAAUUGUGUGUCUGUGUAUUGUCUGUGUGUGUCUGUGUUGUGUCUGUGUGUAUUAACAGUGUGUCUGUGUGUAUUAACUGUGUGUCUGUGUGUAUUAACUGUGUGUCUGUGUGUAUUAACUGUGUGUCUGUGUGUAUUAACUGUGUGUCUGUGUGUAUUAACUGUGUGUCUGUGUGUAUUAACUGUGUGUCUGUGUGUGUAUUAACUGUGUGUCUGUGUGUGUAUUAACUGUGUGUCUGUGUGUGUAUUAACUGUGUGUCUGUGUGUGUAUUGUCUGUGUGUAUUAACAGUGUGUCUGUGUGUAUUAGCAGUGUGUCUGUGUGUAUUAGCAGUGUGUCUGUGUGUGUAUUGUCUGUGUGUAUUAACUGUGUGUCUGUGUGUAUUAACUGUGU
rnacentral:lncRNA from 1 species